ensembl:lncRNA
GUGAGGUUACAGUGGGCUGAGCUGCGGGAGCGCCGUGCUAAUGGGGCAGAAAGCAAUCAGGGGCUUUGGUAAUGGGGCUGAGGGGGGAAGGGGCGCUGACCCACGGGUGCCGUGUGCUCUCUCAGCCCUGUGAUGCUCCCCGUGCUCUGCGACAGCGUGGAGCCAAAGGAGGUUAUUGGGGCGGGAGGAAGCAUUUGUUCGACCCAUUUGUUCUUAUGGGGCUGCGUGCUGCAGGGGGUGCCGGCACAAUGGGAUGCUCUGCUGUGCAGCAUGGGUGGUGCUCGCUCUGCUCCCCAGUUUGCCCAGCGCUGAGUGUGGGAUGUGGCACAGUGUCCUGGGGGUGAAAUGAGCACUGAGGUCAUGAAGACAGCUGCACACCCGAGAUCCCUACAAGAGGAUUUGCUUUGUCUCCAUUGUAAUGCCCUUAUGGCAUCCAUGGAGCUGCGGGAGCUGACUUUGGGGCAGAGAGCUGAGCCUCCUCCUUAGCAGUGAACCCACACCUCUGCCCAUGCACAAAGCUGAGGCAGCCACAGGUUUUAAUCAUAAUUAACCACUGGAUGCCAUUAUUCAGCCAUCAGGUAGCAGCCCUGCCAAAGGGCACGGAAUGAAGGCCUGGGCAUUUCUCCCUCCCUUACAAUGCUCACAGCCUUCCUGUGGGCACAGACCCCCCUGGGGGUCCCCUCAGCCCCUUCCCUUUCCCUCAGUGCUGCAGUUCCCACCACUGCCCGCCCCAAUGCUGGGAUGCAUCCCUCAAUCCCAGUGCUCCCAUCAGCCCAACCCCUCAUUAAGCUGCUCACCCCCUCUGCAGUAAUUACUCCUAUUUAUAACUAACCUCACAGAGCCCCUGCCUGCCCCCCCCACCCCCCCUCCCCUUCCUCCCCUGCUGCUCUCGCUGACACAGAGCUAUUUUUACCCCUUUCCUCCCAGAGAUGCUCCUCUCCCACUUCCAGGCAUGGGAUUUCAAGCAGCUCCAUUGUCACCAUCACCCCCAGGGCCACCGUCACGGCCCCGCUGUGUCCCCAUGGAUGGGGCAAUGGGUGCAGGGGGGGGGGUUGGGGAGACCUGCACAGAUGUGUUCCUAACGAUGGGAGGAAAUAGACCCGCCCUCUGUUUUGCCACCCGCAGCUUUGGAUGGGAUCGCUCCGUUGCAAAGGGGAAGCGCUGCUCUGAGCUCUGCCUUAAUGCCUCUCUGUGCCAUUCCAGUGUGAGUUCAGCUCUGCUGCUCCCCAUGUCUGCAAUGUGUGAGUGUUAAAGGGUUUUGUGGGUGGGUCAGGUUUGUGCAACCCCUCUGCCAGCAGCACAGGUGUGGGAGAAGGGACAUUUUCUAUCCCCUCCAACAUCAAUCCUGCAUAGGGCUCUGCUCAUGAGAGCCUUCAGCAUCCCUCCCCAUUGAGCUGUCAGCAUCAAUCCCCAUAGGACCACCAGCAUCCCUAUGGGGUAACCAGCAUCCCUCCCCAUAGGACCACCAGAAACCCUAUAGGAUCCCAGCAUCCCUCCCAUAAGACCACCAGCACACUUAUGGGGUCACCAGCUUUCCUCUCCAUAGGACAACCAGCAUCCCUAUGGGGUAACCAGCAUCCCUAUGGGGUAACCAGCAUCCCUAUGGGGUAACCAGCAUCCCUAUGGGGUAACCAGCAUCCCAUGUCCCCAUAGAACCACCAGUAUCCCACCCCAUAGGGCCGCCAGCAUCCCCAUAGGGCCGCCAGCAUCCCUGCCCUGCAUGCAGCAGUGCCUGCAGGCUGCCAGCUGCCAUGCACAGGGAUUUUUGCCCACGGGUGCUACCUGUGUCCCCUCCCCACGCUGCUCACCCCCCCCCAUCCCCACACACCGCCGGCGCGGUGGCAGAGCUGCAUAUUAUUCAUUCCCACCACACGUCGAAGCCAUCUGGAUGGUGUUGGCCCUUCUGCCACACCGCGGAGGAUUGUUAACACAAAGCAUAUGCUUUGUUUGAAAUUAAUAAUAAUUUGAGGCUCUCACCAGCUGCUGGUAAUUGGCUCCCCUUUCGCUGCGAUAACCAAGAGCAGCGGGGUGGAAAUGCAGCCACUUCCCGGCUCCUGUUCUAAUGAGAUCAGUGCGCGCCCCUGGGAAAGGUGAGUGUGACACAGGUGGGACGUGGCUUUGCAUGAGCAGCUCCAUGCAUCCCAGCUGCAGGGUCUUCCGUGCAUGCCGUGCUCCAAGCAUCAGAGUCACUGGGCAACGCCGUGCAGCAGCAGGGCGGGCUCUGCAAAGGGAAUUGCAUCUGAACAGCGUUGCAUCUGAAUAGCGCUGCACCUGCAGAGUGUUGCAUCUGAACAGCAUUGCAUCUGAACAGCACGGUACCUGCACAGUAUUGCAUCUGCACAGUGUUACAUCCAAACAGCGUUGCACCUGAGCAACACAGUGCCUGCACAGUGUUUGCAUCUGAACAGCACAGUAUCUGCACAGCGUUGCAUCUGAAUAGCAUUGCACCUGCACAGUGUUGCAUCUGAACAGCAUUGCACCUGCUCAGCAUUGCAUCUGAACAACACAGUACCUACACAGCGUUGCAUCUGAACAGAACAGCACCUGCAUAUCAUUGCAUCUGAACAGCAUUGCGACUGCGUGGCACUGCAUCUGAAUAGCACUGCGCCUGCACUGCUUUGCACCUGCACGGUGUUGCACCUGCACUGCUUUGCACCUGCACAGUAAUGGCAUUGCACUUGCACAGAAGGAGAGGGAGAGAAAGCAGCCCUGGGAUCGGGACCUGCUGCUCACAGGGCCCCGCAGGGCUGUGCCCUCACUGUUUGCCCACAUCCCACCGAAAUCCCACGGGAUCGAUGGGGGUCGGCCGGGUGCACCGCCCCGAGGCCAUGGGAUCGAUGAGGAGUGAAGGAAAUGCGGCCGAAGAUGCGCGGUUUUACAGCUUCCUCCCCAAGAACGGCCGUGCUUUAUGGACUGCUGGUAAUUGCCAAUUAAUUGCGCUGCAGCCGAGGGCAGGAAAGCAGCCCGCAUCCUCCAUACGGGGUGGGCAGGAUAUCAGAGUCCGAAGGUGUUACCACUCCUCCACUUAAUGAAGAAAAAUCACGAUGGAGGCGGCCGGAGGCAACGCAAUGGGAUUGCAGCGGGGAGGAGAGGACUGUGUUAACACCCAUUAAUAAUAAAUAACCGCCAUAAUGAGCUCUAAUUAAUUUGGUCACACGUUAGAGAUCGCUUCCUUCUUUUUUAAGCUUGUAGGUUUUUCUGUGCCGGAGCAUCCCUGCGCCCUGGCUGUUCCCAGCCCCUUCCAUUCAACGUGUGAUAGAUGGAUUGAUACGCAGCUUUAAUCAGUGUAAUAUAUAAAGCACUUAAUUUGCCUUAUUAAAAGUCUGCACUUUGGA